AGGCCCUGUCCUCUGCCCCAG
rnacentral:miRNA from 1 species